ACUGAACAUUGAGCCUUGAUGUGUAGGAUAGGUGGGAGGCUUUGAAGUGUGGACGCCAGUCUGCAUGGAGCCGGCCUUGAAAUACCACCCUUUAAUGUUUGAUGUUCUAACGUGGACCCGUGAUCCGGGUUGCGGACAGUGUCUGGUGGGUAGUUUGACUGGGGCGGUCUCCUCCUAAAGAGUAACGGAGGAGCACGAAGGUUGGCUAAUCCUGGUCGGACAUCAGGAGGUUAGUGCAAUGGCAUAAGCCAGCUUGACUGCGAGCGUGACGGCGCGAGCAGGUGCGAAAGCAGGUCAUAGUGAUCCGGUGGUUCUGAAUGGAAGGGCCAUCGCUCAACGGAUAAAAGGUACUCCGGGGAUAACAGGCUGAUACCGCCCAAGAGUUCAUAUCGACGGCGGUGUUUGGCACCUCGAUGUCGGCUCAUCACAUCCUGGGGCUGAAGUAGGUCCCAAGGGUAUGGCUGUUCGCCAUUUAAAGUGGUACGCGAGCUGGGUUUAGAACGUCGUGAGACAGUUCGGUCCCUAUCUGCCGUGGGCGCUGGAGAACUGAGGGGGGCUGCUCCUAGUACGAGAGGACCGGAGUGGACGCAUCACUGGUGUUCGGGUUGUCAUGCCAAUGGCACUGCCCGGUAGCUAAAUGCGGAAGAGAUAAGUGCUGAAAGCAUCUAAGCACGAAACUUGCCCCGA
rnacentral:rRNA from 1 species